GGGGAAUAUUGGACAAUGGGGGGAACCCUGAUCCAGCCAUGCCGCGUGGGUGGAGAAGGCCUUAUGGUUGUACAGAACUUUAAACGAGGAGGAGGCCCUUUUGGUUAUAACACAAGAUGAGUGGGCGAUAAUCCCAGCAGAAGCACCGGCUAACUCCGUGCCAGCAGCCGCGGUAAUACAGAGGGUGCGAGCGUUAAUCGGAUUUACUGGGCGUAAAGCGUGCGUAGGCGGCUUUUUAAGUCGGAUGUGAAAUCCCCGAGCUUAACUUGGGAAUUGCAUUCGAUACUGGGAAGCUAGAGUAUGGGAGAGGAUGGUAGAAUUCCAGGUGUAGCGGUGAAAUGCGUAGAGAUCUGGAGGAAUACCGAUGGCGAAGGCAGCCAUCUGGCCUAAUACUGACGCUGAGGUACGAAAGCAUGGGGAGCAAACA
rnacentral:rRNA from 1 species